rnacentral:piRNA from 1 species
UCCUUUUCUUUUUGCAACUGACAAGACUUU